UAAUUCCCAGGCAUGGUUUGUGAUUCCCAAAAACAAAUGUUAUUGCCUAAUUUUCUCAAACUAUGCUCUUAUCUCUACAGGUAAAAUAUUCCCUAUGCAUGACAUGUAAUGGCUUGUGGGGCCACACAUGACCCAUGAGUGCCAAAGACAAAAUUCAUGGCAUAAGAUCUUAGAAUUUGGCAUUGGACCAUGGCAUAGGCAUUGAGAACCAUCAUUAGUGUGACAAUAUUUGAAAUGGUGAUCAUAUCUCACUUGUAAGCUAAAGAUUCCUAAUGUAAGGCAUGUGUGGUGGUUUGGGGUACUUAUGUAUCUAAUUACUACACAACUAUCCCACACAACCACAGAAAUAAAUUCUAACACACCUAUAAACAUAAGCAUCAAUGCAUCUAACCUAUUUACUUACCCACACAUCUAAUCGAUGCAUCUUGUUGAUGACCAUUCUCCUCUCAAGAAAAUAGUUAAUCAUGUGUUAAUUAGACCGUGUAGGUCCAAGGGGGAUAUGGUUUAAUGUGUUAAUAAUCACCUAACCUAGACCUUGAAUCUACACCCCUAACAUUCUAAAUCAUCGACCCAUAACCCACAACCCUUCUAAAGACGCAAAGUGAUUUAUUCCCAUUGCUUUGCAUGUCAAACUGAAGAAAUUCAACCAAGCGUGGGUAAACGACGGGAGUAACUAUGACUCUCUUAAGGUAGCCAAAUGCCUCGUCGUAUAAUUAGUGACGUGCAUGAAUGGAUUAACGAGAUUCCCCACUGUCCCUAGCUACUAUAUUCUAGGCAGGGAAAGAAGACCCUAUUGAGCUUGACUCUAGU
rnacentral:ncRNA from 1 species